rnacentral:rRNA from 1 species
UACAGAGGUCUCAAGCGUUGUUCGGAUUCAUUGGGCGUAAAGGGUGCGUAGGCGGCGCGGUAAGUCGGGUGUGAAAUCUCGGAGCUUAACUCCGAAACUGCAUUCGAUACUGCCGUGCUUGAGGACUGGAGAGGAGACUGGAAUUUACGGUGUAGCGGUGAAACGCGUAGAUAUCGGAAGGAAGACCAGUGGCGAAGGCGGGUCUCUGGACAGUUCCUGACGCUGAGGCACGAAGGUCAGGGGAGCAAACGGG